AACGAAUUUAAUUUAAUUAAACGAUUGAUCAUCCAACUGAUAGUGCAAUAUAGUAGGACAUGGAAAACAAAGUUAAACAAUUGGUGAUUAAUUAUUAACUGAAAAUUAAUUGCAUUUUGCUUGAAUCAUCUUCAGGUGCAUCCCAAGAAUCAUGGAAAGUAAAGGUUAAAGAUGAUUGAAACGUAGCAUCAGAAAUCGUAUAAAAGAGAUGAAAAUUGUUCAAUUAAAUCAUUCAAUUCUUGCUAUCAAACUAGUAAACAACUCUAAUAAACUAACUUUCAAUUAACUUGUGUUAAUCACCAACCCAACAAACAAAACAAUGGAAGCCCGAACCAUCAUCGUUUACAUCGCCGCUCUUGCCUCAGUUGUCGCCAUGGCUUACGCUGAUCCUGAACCAAAACCAGAACCAAUCAUUGGCGGCCUUCUUAACAGUGUUCUUGGUGGACGAUGAUUCAAAGGCUUGGUUGGUUUAUCAGUUUUGUUAACCAUCCAUAGUUAAUAAUUGAAUCAUGACUGAUAUUGAAUCAAAAAUGAAUUAAAUAAAGCAUUGAAAAAGCAAA